rnacentral:lncRNA from 1 species
CCGAAACCAAGGAAACCACGCUUUCCUUGCGAUGUGACGGCUUUCCUUUAAACAGUUCUUCAUGCAUUCACAUUCUCUGCUUGCUGUCUUCACACAGUGGAACGCCCACCAGAGGAAUAGCUCCACACUUGACAAGGAGGACAGCAGUGGAGAACAAGACAGUCAGGAACCCAAGCCUUAGGUGGGACAGCUCUCUGGAAGUGGGAAGCGGCCAGGUGUGGACCAAACACACUCCAGGAAGUCAGCGACGGCAGAGGUGACAUUGAUCUCAUGCUUUUUGGUAUGGAGUAUUCAAAAUAUUCAGAUGUCCUUCCACUCUCUUCCCCCAGUGCCC